CCGCACAAUGUGGUCAAGACUUCUUCUGGAUCAGGAUACUUUACUCUGACAUGGACGCCAUCUGCAAGAGAGGAUGGACAAAACCACCCCAUCUGCUUUGUCGUCCAGGCAAAUUCCAAGUUUUUAAUCUUCAACACGGGAUUAUUUCAGUCUGAGCUUCGAUGUGUCAUUGUAACUGUCGGAAACAAACCAAAGGUGACCUUUGUUAAUGUUCUAAAAAUGAAAAUCUCCACUAUGCUGUCACUGAAGGACAACUGUGACAUCAUCGAAAAUCUGAUAAAAGAAGAACUGAUGAGACGGGGGUUUCCACCAGGGAUAACUGUACGCCUGCUGAGCAACAAGUCAAUGGAAGUUACCGGACAUCCAUCCCCUAGUGGCUACUAAUGAAAAUUAAUAUGAUCUGUUCUGGGAAUCAUUACAGCAAGAAGCACAGUGGCCCACUCCAUCUGGAGAAGUCAUAACCUGUUUUUUAAUUAAACCUUAGCAGGCUUCUUGCAAUAUGUGUCCAAUUAAAUAUAUCUUAACUUGUCGUGGGUAUUAAUGAUAACUGAAUCCUCAGUUAGUUACCAAAGGUCUAUUUUCCAUGAAAUGCAUACCCAUACAUUAUAAGACAUUUCUCAACUUGCACAAUGCGUAAACUGAUAAUCUUGU